AAACCGUUCAGGGGUAAACCUGAGAAACCCAAAAGAUCGAAUGGGGAGAUUCAUCGUCGACGGCGUUCGGCUACCGUUGUUGCGCGAUGCUCCGGAUGGGCCAUCCAGUGGUUCCAUUGGCGAGGGCACGCCACCGACGGAUCGAACAUUCCGGCGUCGUAGUCGUGCACUUCUCCCCUGGUAGGACGUCGCGACCCGUUGUGUGUCGGUCUACGGCCCGAGUGGGCGCCUGUCGCGUCGUUUCGGCGCACGCGGCAGACCCUCGGUCGCCCGGCCGGCUGCACGACGGUACACUAACGGUAUCGGGCCGCAACCAAUCCAUUCUCUCUCGAAUGUGUGUGCGUCCAUCCCGCCGCAAGCUCGGUCAGUUCUUACCCGGAGGUACGGACCCGGUGCCGUCCCCGGGCCUGGCCAGCUGUUGGCAGUGCGGUGUCCUCGGACUGGCCAAACCUCGGAUUACCGGUCGGCGACGCUAUUGCUUUGGGUACUCUCAGGACCCGUCUUGAAACACGGACCAAGGAGUCUAACAUGUGCGCGAGUCAUUGGGAGGCAUAAACCUAAAGGCGAAAUGAAAGUGAAAGUCGGCCUUCGCGCCGAUCGAGGGAGGAUGGGCCGCGUAACGAGUGCGGCCCCGCACUCCCGGGGCGUCUCGUUCUCACUGCGAGAAGAGGCGCACCUAGAGCGUACACGUUGGGACCCGAAAGAUGGUGAACUAUGCCUGGUCAGGACGAAGUCAGGGGAAACCCUGAUGGAGGUCCGUAGCGAUUCUGACGUGCAAAUCGAUCGUCGGAACUGGGUAUAGGGGCGAAAGACUAAUCGAA
rnacentral:rRNA from 1 species